UACGGGGGGGCAAGCGUUGUCCGGAAUCAUUGGGCGUAAAGCGCGUGUAGGCGGUUCGGUAAGUCCGCUGUGAAAGUCGGGGGCUCAACCCUCGGAUGCCGGUGGAUACUGUCGAGCUUGAGUACGGAAGAGGCGAGUGGAAUUCCUGGUGUAGCGGUGAAAUGCGCAGAUAUCAGGAGGAACACCAAUUGCGAAGGCAGCUCGCUGGGACGUUACUGACGCUGAGACGCGAAAGCGUGGGGAGCAAACAGG
rnacentral:rRNA from 1 species